rnacentral:tRNA from 1 species
AUUUAUAUAAUAUAAAAAUUAUAUUUGACUUCCAAUCAAAAAAUCUAGCUCAUAGUGUAAAUA